AUAGAAUACAGUUCUUAAUAGAGACAGUCUUAGGAGCUAAUAAUCUGAGCUGAGAUCCAGGCCACUUUUCUAAUGUGUUUUUUCUGUAGAUUGACAGUAAGGAAGGAGUUUGCGAUUUACCUAAUAUAGAUAUUUCAAAAAUUAAUGCUCAUAGAAAGCAUUAAAAAUUAUUCUCAGAAGUGUUUCCACCAGAAAGUAUUAUCUUUUGAAUUUGGUUGCCAAAUUCUACAGUAAAGGAACAUGACAAAUUAAGGUGAAGUAUUUCACCUUCAAUGGAGAGCAGACUGUUGGCUGCAGCAUACUGCAUGAAAGAUAACAAAUGAACCAAUACCUAGUUAAGUUGCUCCGACCUUUUGCUCAGACCUUUCCUGGAACAUAAUGGCAGGAGAGACAAUAAAAGGCUAACACGGUUGAUUAGCAGUUGCCAAGAAAUGUCUGGUCAGUAGGUCAUGGCAGAGAUUUUUUUUUCCUCUCUGUCUAAUGAUUAAAUAAUCCUGGCACACUCUUCUCUGACACUAGCUGAGUAUUUAUUCCCAGAGUGUGAAAUAUUCAAGUGUCUGCGGAGUUCAGCUUGGCGCAGGCAGCUAAGAUAAUAUAUAUGCACAAAGGAUAUAUUUUCUGAACAAAACACAAUGUAUCUCCUCACUGGCAUAGGCUCAACAUUCCUUAUACGAUUCCUAUGAACAUAAUUUCAAAAUGCUUUUAAAAGCAGCCUUUAUUGCAGUGAACCAUUUGCUUAUACAUUCAUACUGAAUGGACUGGUCCACUCUACUAGUAAACUGUGCAGGUGAUAAGCCUUAGUCCGUUAUUUAAAAGAGAGAAAAACAUUCACAUGUAUAACAAAGGACCACCCAUUAUUACAAUGAUCUUUCAAACACUGUUCUAUUGCUGAGCAAAAUAUCUGAUGAGCAGGCUAAUUUUCUUGUAUAAAUACCUACAGAGGAAGCUAUAGCCUCUAAAAUUCACUCCUAAUAAAGUAUUUCAAAUACCUCUACCACUGGCAAAGGUGGAGAUCUCUGUUCCCUCACCACUUAACAGACUGCAUUCUGCUACCAUCGCCAAAGGAUUGUCUGCACAAUCCAUAUAUUUUUCCACUGCAAAAUAUCAGCAACAUCAUAGCUACCACUUUGGGACAUAAAAGCAUAUCAACUUUUCAAACAACUGUAGGAGGGCUUAAAGAGCUCAUGUGAUCAUAUUGUCAGCAUGGCUCAUCACACCUUUUCCUCUGCAUUAGCAUCUUCAUAAUGAUUUAGGAGAAAUAUUGCAAGUAUACAUUAUUUACCUUUGUAUUUUAAAAGUGGAAUUUUUUUUCUCAUUAUUUUCAUAGGGUUUUCUGAAGAUUCAGAGAAUCAUAGGAAAUUCCUUAGAUUCUGAGUUUUUUUCUGUGCUGGCCCUAUUUGUGCAAAAGCUUACCAUGAUAAUGGAGGCAGUUUAGAUCAGUUUGUCCACUGUCCAGCCUCAGAGCCACCUCAGACCAAGGGCACAGAUGAGUACUUGAUGUAAAGAGGUUGACAGGGAGACAAAAAUUAACCCCGUCCUAAAGUCCAGCUUUUCCUCACAGACAGCCAACACUGACAAGGGCCUGCCUGAUGCAGCUGCUACUGAGGUCACACAAUCACAGAAUUGCUGAAUGGUCAGGUUGGAAGGGACGACGCUGGGUCAUCAGAUCCAGCAUCUCUGAUCACUUACAUUGUACAGCCUUUUGUAGUCAAGUUGCCAUUCCCAUCUCACUGAUUGUUAUGUUUUAGGGACUUGGCAUCACAGUUUGACUUUCUGUGGCUCUGCAAAUGCCAGAAGAACCUGCAGUCAAGGAUUUCAAGACAUGUCUUGGGAAAACUGUCUCUGAUUCGUCACUGCUUAGGUUUCUUCAUGAAACACAAAAUCAUGUCCAAUAAGAAGGUUCAUUAUAACUAGUACACAUGGUAAUUUCCAUGUAAUGACUUCUCAGUGGCAUAUGCCAAGAAGAGCAAUUUGUGCCCUUAGUGUCCUUCUAUUACCUUCUGUUCUGUUGGGGUUUUUAUGCCAGAUAAAUUUACUUUAGGAUUUUAUUGUUUUCACUACUGCAUACAUACCUAAUGUACAGUUAAUCAAAAGCUGCAUUUAUAGGCACUUUAAAAGCACAGCUGAAACCUCUCCUAUAGUGUUCCUGAUGCAGACCUCAUACUACUUAGCUUCAGAAAUACAAAAAUCAAUGUGUAAGGACUUCCAGCAAUAUUUCUCCUUUACUGAACUAGUUCUUAAUUCAGACACCACUUUCUUAACUGAGGCAAUUGUUUCACAUAAUAGAAAUAAAUACUUUUCCAAAUUCUUUUUCACAAAUAAAAUUUAAUUUUACUGUCA